rnacentral:rRNA from 1 species
UACGGAAGGGGCAAGCGUUGUUCGGAAUCAUUGGGCGUAAAGCGUGUGUAGGUGGCUACCUAAGUCGAUUGUGAAAUCCCCGGGCUCAACCUGGGAACUGCAUUUGUGACUGCACAGCUGGAGUGCGGCAGAGGGGGAUGGAAUUCCGCGUGUAGCAGUGAAAUGCGUAGAUAUGCGGAGGAACACCGAUGGCGAAGGCAAUCCCCUGGGCCUGCACUGACGCUCAUGCACGAAAGCGUGGGGAGCAAACAGG